GGGAGGUGGGCAACUACCCCCCAGGGCCGGAAAGCUCUCCAAACUCGGUCAUUUAGAGGAAGUAAAAGUCGUAACAAGGUCUCCGUUGGUGAACCAGCGGAGGGAUCAUUA
rnacentral:rRNA from 1 species